rnacentral:rRNA from 1 species
UACGUAGGGUGCAAGCGUUUAAUCGGAAUUACUGGGCGUAAAGCGUGCGCAGGCGGUUUUGUAAGUCUGACGUGAAAUCCCCCGGGCUCAACCUGGGAAUUGCGUUGGAGACUGCAAGGCUGGAGUCUGGCAGAGGGGGGGUAGAAUUCCACGUGUAGCAGUGAAAUGCGUAGAGAUGUGGAGGAACACCGAUGGCGAAGGCAGCCCCCUGGGUCAGGACUGACGCUCAUGCACGAAAGCGUGGGGAGCAAACAGG